rnacentral:rRNA from 1 species
CCUACGGGAGGCAGCAGUGAGGAAUAUUGGUCAAUGGGCGCGAGCCUGAACCAGCCAAGUAGCGUGAAGGAUGACUGCCCUACGGGUUGUAAACUUCUUUUAUAAAGGAAUAAAGUGAGGCACGUGUGCCGUUUUGUAUGUACGGUAUGAAUAAGGAUCGGCUAACUCCGUGCCAGCAGCCGCGGUAAUACGGAGGAUCCGAGCGUUAUCCGGAGUUAGGGGGGUGAAAGGGAGCGUAGAUGGGUUGUUAAGUCAGUUGUGAAAGUUUGCGGCUCAACCGGAAAAGUGCACUUGAUACUGGCAGUCUUUAGUACAGUUGCGGUCGGCGGACUUCGUGUUGUAGCGG